AGGAUUUUGAAAACUAAAGGAAUCAACAAGUAUUUCAUUAAUAAGAAUACUGGCCAGCCUCAUCGCACAGCAGGUCAGCCACAUAGGAGGCCUCUGAUGGGACCAUCUAACUCCAGGAAAGUGAGCUCAGAGCUCCCACUGACUGCAUUAUGCCACAAAGAGAAGAGUCUAAAGAAGUCGGCAAGAAACUGAGGGCACGAGAGAAAGCAUAGAAC